UGGCAAUGAUGACUCUUAGGACACCUUUGGAGGCUUUGUUCCUAUGAAACAACUCUCAGUCUGAGCUGU